rnacentral:rRNA from 1 species
UACGGGGGGAGCAAGCGUUGUUCGGAUUUACUGGGCGUAAAGGGCGCGUAGGCGGCCACCGCAAGUCGGUUGUGAAAUCUCCGGGCUUAACCCGGAAAGGUCAAUCGAUACUGCGGGGCUAGAGUGCAGAAGGGGCAACUGGAAUUCUCGGUGUAGCGGUGAAAUGCGUAGAUAUCGAGAGGAACACCUGCGGCGAAGGCGGGUUGCUGGGCUGACACUGACGUUGAAGCGCGAAAGCUAGGGGAGCGAACGGG